AGAGUUUGAUCAUGGCUCAGAUUGAACGCUGGCGGCAGGCUUAACACAUGCAAGUCGAGCGGGGGAAGGUAGCUUGCUACCGGACCUAGCGGCGGACGGGUGAGUAAUGCUUAGGAAUCUGCCUAUUAGUGGGGGACAACAUCUCGAAAGGGAUGCUAAUACCGCAUACGUCCUACGGGAGAAAGCAGGGGAUCUUCGGACCUUGCGCUAAUAGAUGAGCCUAAGUCGGAUUAGCUAGUUGGUGGGGUAAAGGCCUACCAAGGCGACGAUCUGUAGCGGGUCUGAGAGGAUGAUCCGCCACACUGGGACUGAGACACGGCCCAGACUCCUACGGGAGGCAGCAGUGGGGAAUAUUGGACAAUGGGGGGAACCCUGAUCCAGCCAUGCCGCGUGUGUGAAGAAGGCCUUAUGGUUGUAAAGCACUUUAAGCGAGGAGGAGGCUACUUUAGUUAAUACCUAGAGAUAGUGGACGUUACUCGCAGAAUAAGCACCGGCUAACUCUGUGCCAGCAGCCGCGGUAAUACAGAGGGUGCGAGCGUUAAUCGGAUUUACUGGGCGUAAAGCGUGCGUAGGCGGCUUAUUAAGUCGGAUGUGAAAUCCCCGAGCUUAACUUGGGAAUUGCAUUCGAUACUGGUGAGCUAGAGUAUGGGAGAGGAUGGUAGAAUUCCAGGUGUAGCGGUGAAAUGCGUAGAGAUCUGGAGGAAUACCGAUGGCGAAGGCAGCCAUCUGGCCUAAUACUGACGCUGAGGUACGAAAGCAUGGGGAGCAAACAGGAUUAGAUACCCUGGUAGUCCAUGCCGUAAACGAUGUCUACUAGCCGUUGGGGCCUUUGAGGCUUUAGUGGCGCAGCUAACGCGAUAAGUAGACCGCCUGGGGAGUACGGUCGCAAGACUAAAACUCAAAUGAAUUGACGGGGGCCCGCACAAGCGGUGGAGCAUGUGGUUUAAUUCGAUGCAACGCGAAGAACCUUACCUGGCCUUGACAUACUAGAAACUUUCCAGAGAUGGAUUGGUGCCUUCGGGAAUCUAGAUACAGGUGCUGCAUGGCUGUCGUCAGCUCGUGUCGUGAGAUGUUGGGUUAAGUCCCGCAACGAGCGCAACCCUUUUCCUUACUUGCCAGCAUUUCGGAUGGGAACUUUAAGGAUACUGCCAGUGACAA
rnacentral:rRNA from 1 species